rnacentral:tRNA from 1 species
UUUAGGUUAGUUAAGAAAUAACAUAAGGUUGUCAUCCUUAAAUCACUUCGGUACCUUAGA